GACGAACGCUGGCGGCGUGCUUAACACAUGCAAGUCGAGCGAUGAAACUUCUUCGGAAGUGGAUUAGCGGCGGACGGGUGAGUAACACGUGGGCAACCUGCCUCAUAGUGGGGAAUAGCCUCUCGAAAGGGUGAUUAAUACCGCAUAAGAUUGUAGUUCCGCAUGGAACAGCAAUUAAAGGAUUUAUUCGCUAUGAGAUGGGCCCGCGGCGCAUUAGCUAGUUGGUGAGGUAACGGCUCACCAAGGCGACGAUGCGUAGCCGACCUGAGAGGGGGAUCGGCCACAUUGGGACUGAGACACGGCCCAGACUCCUACGGGAGGCAGCAGUGGGGAAUAUUGCACAAUGGGGGAAACCCUGAUGCAGCAACGCCGCGUGAGUGAUGACGGUCUUCGGAUUGUAAAGCUCUGUCUUUAGGGACGAUAAUGACGGUACCUAAGGAGGAAGCCACGGCUAACUACGUGCCAGCCGCCGCAGUAA
rnacentral:rRNA from 1 species